GGUGUGGUGAACUCGGGGUCGGCCUCUUCUCACAGGUAACUAGUGAUAGGACUAGAGGGAAUGGCAUCAAGUUGUGCCAGGGGAGGUUUAGGUUGGAAAUUAGGAGAUAUUUCUUCUCAGAAAGAGCAGUCAGGCAUUGGGACAGGUUGCCCAGGGAGGUGGUGGCAUCACUGUCCCUUGGGGUGUUCAAGGCAAGGUUGGACGUGGUGCUUAGGGACAUCGUUUAGUGGGUGACAUUGGUGGUAGGGGGAUGGUUGGACCAGAUGGUCCUGGAUGUCUUUUCCAACCUUAAUGAUUCUAUGAUUCACGAUUGCCACAGAUGUUCCCCAGCACUCCCAGUGAGCAGGGGUCAAAUGCAGGCUUCUCCCGGAGCCCCCAGCAUCAUCCGGAACCAUCGUGUGUGUGGGGAUGUAGCCUCACAUCGUGGGCCAUACCGCCAUCCAUGGGUUGGAGCUCCUCGUAACCACCAGGGAGCUGAAAGCAGCAAUGCGGCUGCAAGGAUUGGCAGAAGGGAGCUGCUUCAAGGCUUUAUGAUUAAAUGGAGCUGCUGUAACACACUGCAGUUGGAAAAGGAUCCCCAGAGAUCCCACAUCUCUGUUUACCACCUCAUUUCUGGAGUCUGCCAUGUCCUCUGCUCCGUUGAGUAA
rnacentral:lncRNA from 1 species